rnacentral:rRNA from 1 species
AACGCGAAGAACCUUACCUACCCUUGACAUCCUGCGAAUCUGGCUUAGCAGCUGGAGUGCCGAAAGGAGCGCAGAGACAGGUGCUGCAUGGCUGUCGUCAGCUCGUGUUGUGAGAUGUUGGGUUAAGUCCCGUAACGAGCGCAACCCUUGUCCUUAGUUGCCAGCAGGUAAAGCUGGGGACUCUAAGGAGACUGCCGGUGAGGAACCGGAGGAAGGCGGGGACGACGUCAAGUCAUCAUGGCCUUUAUGGGUAGGGCUACACACGUGCUACAAUGGGACGUACAGAGGGUCGCCAACCCGCGAGGGGGAGCCAAUCUCUUAAAGCGUCUCGUAGUCCGGAUUGGAGUCUGCAACUCGACUCCAUGAAGUUGGAAUCGCUAGUAAUCGCGAAUCAGCAACGUCGCGGUGAAUACGUUCCCGGGCCUUGUACACACCGCUCGCGA